GCUGAUGAAUCAGAGAAACAUCGGAAGCAGCAUGCCGGGGGUUGCCAUCUUCUCGAAACCGAGUUUCGACUUUCGAGGCAGCUCGAAGAAACUGUUUUCGCUAAAACUGCGUUCGUUAGAACGAGCUUCUCUAGACCGCACGCUGUCACGGUUGAUUAAGGCGUAUAAUUAAUAUAAAAAUAUUAAUCGGGAAUUGGUGUAGUCUCGUCUUGCCUUGGUGCUUUGUUUGUGUAAUAAAUUACCUCGCUGAUCAGCCACAUUUUCUCCACCACAUGCGGAUGUGACGGUUGGAAUUGUUUGAACAUAAUGCGAUUACUUCACAUUAAAUUCGAUUGUAUUCUUUUCUUACAGAGAUGAAUUUCGCAUAUGUGCAAUAUUUUACUGGAACAGCACGACCUAAGACUAUCAUCAGUACAUCUGCAAUUAAAACUUUGAACCGAGAAGUGAGGAUGACUACAAGAAGGGUCACCUCUAUGAUGCUUUGUUGACUCCAGACGGAGGGGAGCCGGGCUGUUUUAAAGCCCAAAUACUACUUUUGGCAGACUCAAAGUCGUCGAUCGAGGAGAGGAUCAAAAGGGGCAAGAGGAUCCCUCUACCUAAAGUCCUUGACCAGGUUGUUGAGCACAGCAGUUCGGAAGACGACCAAGCAGCUCUUCGGGUCGAAAUG